UGGGGAAUUUUGGACAAUGGGCGAAAGCCUGAUCCAGCAAUGCCGCGUGUGUGAAGAAGGCCUUCGGGUUGUAAAGCACUUUUGUCCGGAAAGAAAUCCUUGGCUCUAAUACAGUCGGGGGAUGACGGUACCGGAAGAAUAAGCACCGGCUAACUACGUGCCAGCAGCCGCGGUAAUACGUAGGGUGCAAGCGUUAAUCGGAAUUACUGGGCGUAAAGCGUGCGCAGGCGGUUUGCUAAGACCGAUGUGAAAUCCCCGGGCUCAACCUGGGAACUGCAUUGGUGACUGGCAGGCUAGAGUAUGGCAGAGGGGGGUAGAAUUCCACGUGUAGCAGUGAAAUGCGUAGAGAUGUGGAGGAAUACCGAUGGCGAAGGCAGCCCCCUGGCAAGUACUGACGCUCAUGCACGAAAAGCGUGGGGGAGCAAAACAGGAUUAGAUACCCCUGGUAGUCCACGCCCUAAACGAUGUCAACUAGUUGUUGGGGAUUCAUUUCCUAGUAACGUAGCUAACGCGUGAAGUUGACCGCCUGGGGGAGUACGGUCGCAAGAUU
rnacentral:rRNA from 1 species